rnacentral:rRNA from 1 species
UGCCAGCCGCCGCGGUAAUACGUAGGGCGCAAGCGUUAUCCGGAAUUAUUGGGCGUAAAGAGCUCGUAGGCGGUUUGUCGCGUCUGCUGUGAAAUCCGGAGGCUCAACCUCCGGCCUGCAGUGGGUACGGGCAGACUAGAGUGCGGUAGGGGAGAUUGGAAUUCCUGGUGUAGCGGUGGAAUGCGCAGAUAUCAGGAGGAACACCGAUGGCGAAGGCAGAUCUCUGGGCCGUAACUGACGCUGAGGAGCGAAAGGGUGGGGAGCAAACAGGCUUAGAUACCCUGGUAGUCCACCCCGUAAACGUUGGGAACUAGUUGUGGGGUCCAUUCCACGGAUUCCGUGACGCAGCUAACGCAUUAAGUUCCCCGCCUGUGGAGUACGGCCGCAAGGCUAAAACUCAAAUAAAUUGACGG